UGAGCAAUCUGCCCUUCUCUUUGGAAUAAGCGUUGAAAACGACGUCUAAUGCCGAAUACGACCUCCUUUCGCAUGAUCGGAGGUGGAAAGCUCCGGCGGAGAAGGAUGAGCUCGCGGCCUAUCAGCUAGUUGGUGUGGGUAAUGGCCCACCAAGGCGACGACGGGUAGCCGGCCUGAGAGGGUGACCGGCCACACUGGGACUGAGACACGGCCCAGACUCCUACGGGAGGNAG
rnacentral:rRNA from 1 species